rfam:Cyclospora cayetanensis strain CHN_HEN01 contig_187, whole genome shotgun sequence.
GAUGCAUCGAUGUCAUCUAUUGAAAUCGGAACGAUCCAGAGAACAGCUUUGCAUGGCCCCUUUCAAGGGGGACUCCCACAAAUCGAGAAGCGGAACCAAUUUUU